rnacentral:rRNA from 1 species
GACGUGUGAGGCAAGCGUUAUUCGUCAUUAAUGGGUCUAAAGGGUACGUAGGCGGAAUACUUAAUUAUGUUUAAGAAGACACUUAAAAGUGAACAUGAUAAUAAAAUUCUAGAGUUUGAAAGGAGUAAACAAUUACCUCGAGAGUAAGGGACAACUAAUACGGAAAUACUUGGGGGGAUUCUAAGCGGCGAAGGCAUGUUACUAUUGAAAAACUGACGCUGAGGUACGAAAGGCUUGGGUAUCGACUGGG